rnacentral:rRNA from 1 species
GACGAACGCUGGCGGCGUGCUUAACACAUGCAAGUCGAACGGAAAGGCCCUGCUUGCAGGGUACUCGAGUGGCGAACGGGUGAGUAACACGUGGGUGAUCUUCCCUGCACUUCGGGAUAAGCUUGGGAAACUGGGUCUAAUACCGGAUAGGAACCAUCUUUAGUGUGGUGGUUGGAAAGUUUUUUCGGUGUAGGAUGAGCUCGCGGCCUAUCAGCUUGUUGGUGGGGUAAUGGCCUACCAAGGCGGCGACGGGUAGCCGGCCUGAGAGGGUGUACGGCCACAUUGGGACGGAGAUACGGACCAGGAGCCUACGGGAGGCAGCAGUGGGGAAUGUUGCACAAUGGGCGCAAGGCUGAUGCAGCGACGCCGCGUGGGGGAGGAAGGGCUUCGGGGUGUAAACUCAUGUAGCGAGGGACGAAGCUGUGUUGUGACGGUACCUAGAUAAGAAGCACCGGCUAACUACGUG